GACGAACGCUGGCGGCGUGCUUAACACAUGCAAGUCGAACGGAAAGGCCCUGCUUUUGUGGGGUGCUCGAGUGGCGAACGGGUGAGUAACACGUGAGUAACCUGCCCUUGACUUUGGGAUAACUUCAGGAAACUGGGGCUAAUACCGGAUAGGAGCUCCUGCUGCAUGGUGGGGGUUGGAGAGUUUCGGCGGUUGGGGAUGGACUCGCGGCUUAUCAGCUUGUUGGUGGGGUAGUGGCUUACCAAGGCUUUGACGGGUAGCCGGCCUGAGAGGGUGACCGGCCACAUUGGGACUGAGAUACGGCCCAGACUCCUACGGGAGGCAGCAGUGGGGAAUAUUGCACAAUGGGCGGAAGCCUGAUGCAGCAACGCCGCGUGCGGGAUGACGGCCUUCGGGUUGUAAACCGCUUUCGCCUGUGACGAAGCGUGAGUGACGGUAAUAGGUAAAGAAGCACCGGCUAACUACGUG
rnacentral:rRNA from 1 species